rnacentral:rRNA from 1 species
AUACGGAGGGUGCGAGCGUUGUUCGGAAUUAUUGGGCGUAAAGAGCAUGUAGGCGGUCUGUUAAGUCUGGUGUGAAAGCCCGGGGCUCAACCCCGGAAGUGCAUUGGAUACUGGCAGACUUGAGGAUGGGAGAGGAAAGCGGAAUUCCGAGUGUAGGAGUGAAAUCCGUAGAUAUUCGGAGGAACACCAGUGGCGAAGGCGGCUUUCUGGACCAAUACUGACGCUGAGAUGCGAAAGCGUGGGGAGCGAACAGAAUUAGAUACCCUAGUAGUCC